rnacentral:rRNA from 1 species
GAUGAACGCUGGCGGCGUGCUUAACACAUGCAAGUCGAACGAUGAAGCCCAGCUUGCUGGGUGGAUUAGUGGCGAACGGGUGAGUAACACGUGAGUAACCUGCCCUUAACUCUGGGAUAAGCCUGGGAAACUGGGUCUAAUACCGGAUAGGAGCGUCCACCGCAUGGUGGGUGUUGGAAAGAUUUAUCGGUUUUGGAUGGACUCGCGGCCUAUCAGCUUGUUGGUGAGGGAAUGGCUCACCAAGGCGACGACGGGUAGCCGGCCUGAGAGGGUGACCGGCCACACUGGGACUGAGACACGGCCCAGACUCCUACGGGGGGCAGCAGUGGGGAAUAUUGCACAAUGGGCGCAAGCCUGAUGCAGCGACGCCGCGUGGGGGAUGACGGCCUUCGGGUUGUAAACCUCUUUCAGUAGGGAAGAAGCGAAAGUGACGGUACCUGCAGAAGAAGCACCGGCUAACUACGUG